rnacentral:rRNA from 1 species
UACGUAAGUGGCGAGCGUUAUCCGGAAUUACUGGGCGUAAAGCGUGCGUAGGCGGUUUAGUGUGUGGGAAUUGAAAGCCCGGGGCUCAACCCCGGAGAGUCGACCGAUACUGGCAAACUAGAGUACAGAAGAGGUAGCUGGAAUUCCUGGUGUAGCGGUGAAAUGCGUAGAUAUCAGGAGGAACACCUGAGGCGAAGGCGGGCUACUGGGCUGAUACUGACGCUGAUGCGCGAAAGCCAGGGGAGCAAACGGG